rnacentral:misc_RNA from 1 species
UUAACUAUUAUAUAGUACUCAGACAUCACUAAAUAAACGAGUUUGGGUCCUCUGGCAGGCGCGGUCAGCGUGAGCCGACGCCCGAAGGCGGCCUGCCAAAGCAACAAAGGUAUGUAUACACGGUUUGGGAAUAGAACCCAUUUCAAAAAACGGGGCAUUCUUUAAUGAUCCUUCCGCAGGUUCACCUACGGAAA